CCUCAGAAGAGCCAGAUUCCACUUCUGUGGCCAGGACUUUUACAUUAUGGCUGGUCCGAUUGUUUUACCCUGCGUUCUAUGCUACUAAACCUUGGAUCAUUCCUAAAGUACAAAUUCUGUUCUCGAACCACAAACAAGGCUAAAAGAUCGGAGGAAAUUCAGUGAAUAUACAGGAUUGGGGUUGUGUAUUUUUAAAAGUGUCUGAUGAUUUGUGAGCCUCAAGUGACUACUCUGUGGAAUCAUCUGUCCUUGCCUUUGAAUUAGCUUUCCCUAGGCCAUGAGUCAACAUUAGUAGUUUAUACAUCCAAAUUGUGUUGACUUCAUUCUCAGGUAAGCUUUCUGAAUGUGGUGGCAAAGAUGGCCACAUACAACUUCAGACUUGCAUCAUGCGUCAUCCUACAGCCUGUGAAUCCAGGAAAAAUAAACAAACAAAAAGAUUCUCUUUAUGCCAACAUCAAUUUCAGUUGUCAGAAAAUCUUGGAUUGGCUCUGUUUUGGUGACAUGCCCAUAUGUGGAUCCACUUAUUUGAUAAACAAGGACUACUCUGAUUGGAUGGCCAAUGUAGGGAGGCAAAAGACGACUAGCCUAUCAAGGUCAUGAGGAAUGAGUGAGGGUCUGUCAGUCGUAGAAAGUGAAAGGAAUUUAAAGCAGGCGGGAAUGUAAUGGAACACACAACCACCACUACACAUUUUUUAAUUACUGAGUAUAAUGAUGAUUGAUAGGCUUUUGAAAAUGUUUGUCUUGGUAAACUCACUGGUACCUAUCAAUGUGUAGGCAACAUUAGUUUAUUUUGCCAAAUGUCCUCUUACAGCAUGGAA
rnacentral:lncRNA from 1 species